GACAGAGGGUGCAAACGUUGUUCGGAAUUACUGGGCGUAAAGCGCGUGUAGGCGGCUUGGCAAGUCGGGUGUGAAAGCCCCGGGCUCAACCUGGGAAGUGCACUCGAAACUGCUUGGCUUGAGUACUGGAGAGGGAAGCGGAAUUCUCGGUGUAGAGGUGAAAUUCGUAGAUAUCGAGAGGAACACCUGCGGCGAAGGCGGUUGGCUGGCUGACACUGACGCUGGAGGCGCGAAAGCUAGGGAGCGAACGG
rnacentral:rRNA from 1 species